GAUUGCAAAUUGCUCCGAGCAAAUUACACGCAAGUAUUCAACUGUCAUUUUUUCAAGCUCCUAUCACUCCCGUGUUGGGGAAAGGGAAUAACAAAUCAAAAGGACUAAUAUUGUGCCUACCACUUGACAAAUUAAAGGUAAACUGGAAUGUAUAGAGGAUAUUUAUACAUGGUUGUGCGGAAAUAUGUAAUUUAUUUCGAGUGUUGAAGAGAACUAUUGCUAACGAGUGAGCGUAGCAAAUUGCAAGUUGUUCCAUUAUGUGAUUUAAUAAUCUAAAUUUUUUAGUAAGGUCAUGGACAUAUUGUAAUUAUUAUGAGUAUUUACUAUUUUAUCUUCGUAUCAAACCAAAUAUAUAGCAUUGCGAGCUUUAAUUGGUAUUAAACUCUGCCAGUUUGAGAACAUAUGUUUACAUAUUUAACUACCGCAAAAUAAAUCCCUCUUUGGCACUGAAUUUUGCAUGUUAUUUAGUAUUUUUGUAUCACGUUAAGAUCAAAAUGGACAUAUUUCUUGAAUAAUACUUUUAAUCUGUGAAAUGAUAUAUAUAAAAAUAUUAGUCCUCAUACUUCGUUUUGGAUUUGUUACUCAGUUUUGUGAUAGAUAGGGGUACCAAAGCCUUGAUAUUUCCAGAGGUAUUAAAAUACAAAAUUAGCCUGUGACAGUAUGCUCCUGAUUUUACUUCAUACUCGAUUUGGAGCAACACAAGUUCUACAACAAGAACGUACACGAUGUACUGUGCAAUUAUAAAACGUCAUAUUUAUAGAUAUUUGAUUGACAUGUUUACGCCAUGCAUUUCAUACCGCACGGGUUUUCCCUGAGUUUUUGUAAACAGGACCUGCAUUUCCGGCAAUUGUUUUAUGGUUGAAUCUUCACGAAACAAUUACAAAUUUUAAAUAGACACGCAAAUUAUAUUUGCGUAUAUAUCUUGACUGUUAUUUAAUGGAGGCCUCUGAAACUAGGCUAAACUAUGAAAAUAAAGCAUAGGAUAAACGUAGCCCUGUUGUUUUAAAUGUCAGAAACUAUUAUUAGCUCAUGACUCCAUGUACAGACGUCUAAUCCCACGUCUUUAAUAAAUCCACACAUUUUACAGCCUUAAUUAAUUAUUUUCUUUAAAUUGUUCUUAAAAGUAAUGAACUGUAUGAAUAGCAGAUAUUUAGCUCCAGAUAAAAAGAAACAUUUUUGUAUGAUUGUUAUCAGUUGCCGUGAUUCGGGAUAUAAAUGGUUCUCGUCCUCUUAAUUUUAUAGAAGUCACUAGUUAAAUGUAAAUAUUAUAUCUGAAGCAGGCAUAUAAUUUCAACUAGCACAAUUUCGCACAAUUGCUGUAAAAAUGUCAUUUCGAGAAUGCACCAUCAAUGAAUGCGAAACAUUUCUACUUACUGCGAAAGCGGACAAAGUGGGACAAUUCAAUGCAAUCGCUCAUGUGCAACCACCGUAUUUCGCAGACACAAGCUCUCGUGACGAAUUUCGCCGUCGUGGAAUCAGACCUUAAGAUUCAGACACACCGGACGCGCUUCGACAACGCGACGCGAUUUUUCAGUAUAAUUAGUUUGAAAAACAGCCAAUGAGAGCAAAUCAGUUACAAACAUAUGUAGACCAAGUAACUUAGAAUGUUAUAGCGCUUCUAAAUAUUUGGAAUAUUUAAACUUGGAUUAAAUUUAACGGUCAGUGAAAAUCGAAAAAUCGCGUCGCGUUGUCGAAUCGCGUCCGGCGUGUCUGGACCUUUAAUGCGCAGAUACAUGUACGCGGUCGCGUACCUAUUUUUGUAGCUGGGGGGGGGGGCGGAGGAACUGAUGUCUAAUUCCAUGCGAAAACUUGGAACCCCCAAGACAAAAGUUGAUAUAAAAUUAUGACCCCCUAUUUUUUUACUGAAAAUUUUUUGACCCCUCAUCCUAACUAUUAAUGCAGACCUUGAAACCAUGCAUGAUUUUGAAAUCAUGCUACGGUCCUGCGUUUUCUUUCAUUCAUGUUUUCACACAAAAACGGAUAAAAACGAGGUCAAUUGACGAACGUCAUGGAAAUGUUUUCCUAUGGAAUGUGUGAACAGAGCAUCAAAUGAGUUUUGCUUCAUUGUUAUAGAUGACGAGAUAGUUGAUAGAUUCUAGACCUUUUUACCAUUCUUGAUCCAAAUAUUUCCAAAUUCUAUAAAAUUAUAUUGGUGAUUUUUUCACUGAUUUUUAUGACCCCCUCCAUUUAUACCAAAACUAUAAAAAGACCCACCCCUUUGAAGCAUGUCAAAAUUGGCUGACCCACCCCCAAAUUCCUCCUGCCCCCCCCCCAGCUAAAAAAUGAAUGCUCCCUAUAAAUUCAAUAUAUUUUUGAACCAGUCCAUAUAUUGUUAUACACAAUGUAGUAUAGUUAAUUUGACCAUUGAGAAGUAAGGGUGUAUUUCAUUACACAGACACUGCUGAAUUUUAGGUUACAUGCCAUUGGAUUGAUAUAUAAAAAACACUUGUAAAACACACCCAUCUUGUUGAUAGAAUAGUUAUUUGCAGUAUACUAACUGUUGGCAUACUCUAUUUCAGGACUAUCAAUUGUUUUUGUCACUGGCAGUCUUUGAAAUACAAUCUUGCUCUGUGGCCUUUACUGACAAGUUGGCUUUUACUACAUAUGUGGCACUGACACUUCUUUAAUUAAUGCACCAGUCAAUGUAAACCCCCCAACCGGGGAGGGGCAGGGAUUUUGACUUGGAGGGGUAGUAAAAGAGCGAAAUUAUCCCCACCCAUAACGAGCGAAAUUAUCAUAGAUCAGCAAUAGAAAAUCAAAUUCAUUUAUGUUGUUGUAUUUAAACUUUUCUUGUCAAGAAAACUAAAACAGCAACGCAGGAUAUAUAUGUUAACCACCGUCCAAGUCAUCCAUCAUCGGGACAAAUUUAUAAUCAAAACUGACCACUUUCCCCUCUAAACCUCCCGCCCCUCCCCGGUUGGGGGCAGGGAUUUACAUUGACUGGUGCAUAACUAGAUGAUUGCAUGAAGUAUUGCAUGGAAGUUGGUUUAUAAUUAGUUUAUGAAUAAACUCACACUUUCAUUAUAAUGGUUGAUCGAAGAUAUCAAAUGCAUUUGAUUGGUUGAUGGUCCCUUAAUGGUAAUGGUAGUCAAAUAUGAACCUAUAUAAUGUCAUCAAUAUACUGGAAAAGUAUCAAAUUAAAUUUUAAUUGUCAAUGUUGUGGAA